AAAAUGUGACAUAUUAAGUCCUGCCAACUGCAAUGGAUUAUGGCAAAUAAAACAUCAGAGACUGCACUAUCUAAAUCCUCCAUUGCUUAUUCUAGAACAGCACCUCAUCUCACCCCACAUACCCUUUUCAGUGAUAGAUGUAAAAAUGUUUCUUUAAAACUGUCCAUAAUUGUGGAGGGCAGAUGCUUCAGUGUAGUGACACCAACAUAGGACGACAUCUGUUUCUCCAUGAUACAUGUACCAAACUUGUGCACAUUCAGCGAUUCCAGAGUAUAUUAUCAGCUACACCAGUCUCAUGAUCCAAGGAUGCAAACAUGUGGCCAUCUCUUAAAACAGCACUGAAAGUUUUUCUGAGAAAAUAUUUUUGUCAAAUUGUAUCUGACAGUACAACCACAAGAUGCAACUGGGUGAGGCUGAUAGCACGCAUGCACUUGUAUGGUUGCUUCCUCGUUCCAGUGCUGGGUGUUAAACUGUUCAUUGACAAAGGAUGAUUAAGAACAUGAAUAUCCACACAACUACAUAACAAUCCUCCAAAGUCUUCAGAAAGCUUGUUUCUGAGCAAUUCAGUUCAUCUAGCUCUCUCUGACAAUGGAACCACAAAAAUGAAUCCUGCUAAAACUGGCUAAGGCAUUGACAUGAGAGCUGCCAACUGUGGGUAUUCAACUGCACAAAGGAUGAGAGGAGCCUUGCCUGGAAAGCUGAGAGGAGCCAAGAGAAGAAAAGGCAGUAGCCACCCCCCUUUGCUGCUGAAGAGGAAGAACCAAGCCUUUCCCGCCCAACAAAUAAAUAAAUAAAUAGGCGGGGCAGCUGAAGGAAGCCUUGGACCCAUUUCCAUUGCUCCCUCCUUCCAAAAGCCUGCUUUGGGGGAGGCCAGGUCUCUACACUGUGGGUACACCAGGCUGUAACUCACAGCUCUCCUUCUCUGCCUUCAAAGCAGCCUCUCCAAACGUUUGCAGCCCUCUGGAAGCCACCUGCUGCAGGAUGCAUGCAACAUGCUGCCCAAGGAUCACACAGUGGGCAAAUUAUAACAUGGAACACCAAGAACAGCCAUGGUACUAGUUCAGGCUUUGCACACUUCCAGAUUAUGAAUGUGCAUGUCACUGGAAUCACAAGCUCUGCUUGUUAGUUCUCCACCAAAAAAACACUCAGCUUCAAAGUCAAAAUGGAUCACACUGGUUUACCUCUGGAUGAAUGGCAUGAGGGUCAUGUUAAGUGUUGGCUUGAGUCCAUUGGGAUUAAAAGGAUGUAUGUUGAAAAGCUCUGUGAAGAGGAAGUAACUGGCCCAGCACUCAAAAUAUUAGACGAUAAAUUCCUCAAGAGAAUGGGCAUGAAACAAGGCCAGAUCCACAUAUUAAUGCAGAAAAGAGAUCAGCUUUUGCAACAGGAUAGUGGGGCAGAUGUCACCAAAGAAGUUUAUGAAACCAUUAGGGAAAUGCCUGCAUUAGACCACAGCAAAACUAAUUCAUCAAGGAGGGAAAAACCAAAAGUCAGAGACACAGAUACAUCAACUGAAGAAGGUAAAAGUGACAGAGAGAAAGAGAAACACACAUCUGACAUUAAACCAGUUUCUUUGCUACAUAGAGAUUCAGAACCACAGUGCUCAAAUAAAGAAGUCAUGGCACACACAAGUGAUGUUCUGAGCAAAAUGGAAAGCACAAAGAAUACUUCUGUUCUGCAUGAUCGAGUACGCUUGAGCACGUUCAGGCCAUUCAGCACCAACAACACUAAUUUUAAAUAUGUUAGAAAUGCAGUCCUUUCUCCAGAAACGGGAGUCCUCAAUCUAAUCAGUCCUUGCCAUGAAUACAAGUCAUUUGAUACUGCUGCUCUGCUGGACAGACCACGGCUGCAAGCAAAAUUUGCCCGUGAAGUGAUAAAGUUUGCUUCUGCUUGCCUGAAUGUCCGAACAAAUGGCACUAUUCACUUUGGAGUGAUGGAUCGUGUUGAGAAAAAGGGCUGGACACAUGGACAAAUCAUUGGGAUACCAAUUAGAGAGACAGAAAUUUAUGUUGAUGCUUUAGAUUACAUAGGGAAAUGUUUUGAUGCAAAUGUUCAAGCUGCUGCAAGGCAAUGUAUUCACCCUCCAGUUUUCAUUGAAGUUAUUCAGACAGAUAGCCAUGAACAGUAUUUUGUAGUAGAAGUUGACAUUGAACCAUUAUCUGACAUUAUAAAAGGAAAGUUUUUUCAAGUACGUCUACCAAAUUUUAAUGAAAAAAGUAAUAAGGUAAACUUAGAAAAAGAUAAAAUUGCCUUCCAAAGAGCUGGUUCAAGCUCUGAACCAGUAACAAUUGAAAAUCUAGUGACGUUCAUUCAGGAUUUACAAGAAAGAGACAUUUGGAGGAAGAAAGCUGAAGAAUCCAGUCAUGAAAAUCAAACAGAUGUUCCGGAAAAUUUAGGGCGAAAAUUAUCUGUCUUGUUGACAGAUGGCAAAAGCUACUUGGACAGCUCUAUGUGGUACAUUCUUGUUACCAACAAAUGUGGAGAGGAAGACCUUAAAUCUAUUAACUUUUUGAGGCACAUUAACAUUUUCUGUGUGUUUGAUUUUGAUGAAGACUCCAAUGUGUCAGGUUUGUACUCCAACUACAAAAAAUACCAUGCAACCAGUCCUCAUUUUUUGCAAAAUUAUUCCAAUGACAACAAGAUGAGCACAACUGAAUUUCAAAAACAUCUGUGCCUAUUUGUUAAGAAAAGCUGGAUAUUUUGCAAUGGACGCAGUGACUUCCUUGGUAAUGAAAAAACUUGUGAUGAAAACACUUGGAUUAGAACAAAGAGAAAGUAUUUGAAAAAAGCAGUAUCUUUUAUCUGUGAUGACCUCCUCCCAAAGGGAUCUUUUCUGGUGCUCUUCUUACUAUUAUCACCUGUAGAGAAACCAAUUGUAGACACCUUCCAUGAAUUUUACAGUGAAAUGAAUGGCAUGGAUUUCAUAAUAUGCCUUUCAGAAUCUAGAGAAAACUAUGAGAAAUGGGCUAAUCUAGCACAGACAUCCUGCAGCAUUGAGACACUACAACAGCGGAGUAUUGUAGGCAUGAAGCUAAGCCAUGUGGAUGCUACCAUCCAAAGCAUGCUGCCCUCUACAACUAAUUGCAGACAUUUACCGGUUUCCACAAAGGGUCUGUGUGUACUUCCCCCACUGGAAGAAGAGAAAAUGUAUUCUCUUGAAAUAUUGUGUGCUGACCAAUGUGAUGAUAUCAAAUUAGAUUUUCUGAGUACAAGAGAAAUACAGAUGAUAGAUGAAACGUUUUAUAGGGGUAAAAAAGUCAGCUGGAAAAAUUUUUGGCUUGCUGAUAAAAGGAAGUGUGGGGAAAUUAUCGAAAGGGAAGCCUGUAAGGAGGUGUCUAGAAUGUUGAAUGAUUUUGUAUAUGGGAGUUUGUUCCGGUAUUCUGUUGCUAAACUUAAAGUGUUUCAUGAACCUGGGAGUGGAGGAAGUACCAUUGCAAGGCAAGUGCUGUGGAAGCAGAGAAAAGAUUUACGUUGUGCUGUCAUCAAAACCACAUAUCCAGUUACUACUGUCUGUCAGCAUGCAGUUGAGUUCCAAUGUUAUGAUGAAAAAGACCUCAAAAACUGUCUCCCAGUCCUCCUUUUGGUGGAAGAUUAUGAUGAAGAAUACCUUGAGGAAUUAAAUUGUGCUUUAACAGAUGCCAUGGGGUCUAACAAACGACGUUCUUCCAGGCCUUCUUUCAUCCUUUUGUGCUGUAAACGGUCCAAUGCCCCUGAUAAAUUUUGCAAAGCAUCCCCUCAGGAUACAGUGUCUGUUACUCACAAACUGACAGAUAAAGAGAAAAGCCUGUUCAGAACAAAGAUAGAAAAAUUUGAAAAUCAGAAGGAUUUUAAACUGGAAUACAUACUUACUUUUGUUCUCAUGAGUAAUGAGUUUGAAACAACAUACGUGAGAGAAUUUGUAGAACACUUGCUUAAAGAUAUAGACUUAACUUCCCGGGAAACUAGUUUAAUGAGAUAUGUUGCCCUACUCAAUUUCUAUGUACAUAAUUCAUACAUCUCUUUAUCUCACUGUGAGGCUUUCCUGGGACUUAUGCCAUAUGAAGAAAUGACAGUAAGGCAGUAUGAUUUCAUAAGUAACUUAAGUGAACAGGCACGGCUUAUUUUCAUUGAACUGAGAGAAACCACCACAUAUAUUUCAUCUAUUCGAAUAAUACACCACCUGGUGGCAAAAGAAAUACUGAAUCAGCUCUCAGGAAGUCAGACUCAGAGUGAAAUUGCCAUGGAAUUUCUCCAAGAGAAAGCGUUUCUUCAGCAUCGGUUUGGACGGGAAGAGUUUAUAAAAUUCAUCAGAGAUCUGUUCAUAAGGCGUGAUAAAAAGAGUAGAGGAGAUAACACUGACAGCCUUUUCUCCCCAUUCAUUGAGCAUGUCUGUAACACAGAAAACCCAGAAAAAGCCAUAGAGGUUUUAAAAUAUGCUUAUGAAUGCUUGGGAAAAGAUGCAUUCUUUGCACAACAACUUGCCAGAUUGCAUUAUGUUUAUGAAAAGUUUGAGGAUGCAAAACUCUGGGCAGAAGUAGCCAAAUCUCGUUUGCCAAAUGAUUCAUUUAUUUUAGACACAGAAGGGCAGGUGUAUAGGAAGUGGUUUAGCUUUAGGGUGGACAAAAAAUCAGAUGAAGACACUCCUGAAGAUACCAUUCAAAUUAUAGAAAUUGCCCUUAAGGCUAUGAAGUGCUUUAGAGCCACACAGCAGGCUGCAAAAUCUGAAAAGGAUACCAUGAAUAACUCAGGUUAUUUUGGAGAAGUAGAAGUGGGAUGUCGCCUACUGAAACUGCUAUCUACUCUUGAUGUAUUUCCUAAAGACACAAAAGGAGAGCAUCCUGAACUUGUCCAGUAUUUACUUACAGAUUACAUUCCAGAAGAUAUUAAAAAGCCAUGGGGAAAACUCCACAGCCGGUUAAAGGGCUUACGGCAAAAUAUUUACAAUGCUCUUGACUGGAUUUCAGAGGACUUAAGUUACUUCCAAACAGAUAAAAACCAAACAGAUGAUGAAGAUAAGAGAGAAGAACAAGUUUAUAACCCUAGAGGAUGGCUCAAAAGACAAUGUAAGGUUUAUGCAACAUUUUUUAGUUCUGAUACACUUGCUGAAGAAAAUGGUGCAGGAUCUAAUACCCAGUUGAUUAGACAAAUGAAUAUUUACAAACAUGGUGGUGGAAAUGUCACCACUAUUCUCUCAUUCCUUUCAGAUAAGAAUGAUAAGAAAUCCGUUCAAAGUCUGGAAAAAAUAAUAAGCUUAUAUUCAGAAGACCCACAGAGUCUAGAGGAUACAGACCUUAUAAAUUAUAUAUUGUGUCACUGUACUCUCGCUUGCCUGUCACCUGGUUCUUCCAAACUCCUUGACCUACGCACACUCCGAGAACUCAGCAAGAGGUUCUUUAAAAAGUGGAAAACUACUUUCCCUGCCAGUGCUCAUUUUUUGCUUACUUUACUUUACUGGCCUGAUGGUGCUUUGGAUAAAGUCUCUUCCUCAGAUAAAGAUGACAUCUUAAAGUCCGCCCUCGAUACCUUGAAGCGCUUGCAUGAUAUCAAAAUAAAGGAUGUUGCCCCAAGGAAGAAAAGAAUCUACACAAUCUUUUUCUUGGGCAAGGGCUAUGGCCUGGCAAAGAUUGUGCCCAGGACAAAGAUUGAUAAACUAAUGAAAGGCUCCCUGGAUGAGCGUCGAAAAAACUGGCAGAAUGGUCAAGUGUGGAAAAUAGAAGAAGUACACAAUAUCCUGGAAAGGGUAAAUGGAUGGACAGAAGAUGGCAGAGUUUUUGCAAUGGGGCACUCUGGACAGCUUCCAAUUCUGCCUCUGCAUUUUGAUUCAGUGCCGCCUGGGAAUGAAAAUGUAAAAUUUUAUCUUGGUUUCUCAUUUAAUGGACUUGUUGCCUAUGACAUUCGAGUGAAAAUGUAGAAAAUGUCCUAUCAGUACUGUAUUAAAUUGCAAACUACCCAAAGAAAUAAUGGGUUUGAUCCAGACCUGGUCAUAUUUAGUGUAGACUCACUGAAAUGCUGUCAGUUAAGACUAACACAAAUCUCCUUUAAUUCAGGGGGGUAAACCCCAAGCAUGAUCAAAUCUAGAUUCAAUCUAAUACAUUUUUUCUCUCUUCAAAAUUCAGAAAAAGUCAAUUCUGACUAUGAAACACAGCAUAUUACGGAAAAUGUUUUUAGAUAUUAAAUACAAUGGCAUCCACUGGAAUUUAGUUCCAGGAACACACAUACCUAUGGAUACCAAAAUCCAUGAAUGCUCAUGUCCCAUUGUAUACAAUGGCAUAUUAAAAUGGUGUCCCUUAUAUAAAAUGGUAAAAUCAAGGUUUGCUUUUUGUAAUUGAGGGUAUUUUCAAGCCAUGCAUGCAGAAUCCAUGGAUACGGAGAGUCAACUGUAGUUACGAGGACAGAAAAAAAUGUGAACCUCAUCAGUCAAGGUUUGUACAGAACUGAGCACUCCUACAACUACAGUUGCCCCUGUUUUCACAGCGCAGCGUGUGGACAGCGCAGUUCCAAACCACUUCCAGCCGGAGCAGACUCAGGCUGCUCUUUCAUGCCUCUUUGCUCCAGCCCUAGUUGUUCUAUCCCAAUAGGGCAUCUGUAUUAUGGUCUGUUUCCCUAAGUAUACUUAAAUAAGUUUGUAUUAUAUAGAGCUGUUAUCAACUGAUCAUUCAUGAUUCCUUAUAUCUGUGCUAGAUUGGCUGUCCCUUCCAGAGCUUAUCCCUAUCGUUUUGCUCACCUUACUUUUAGCUGCUUUCUGCUGUCUGGCCUUGUCCACUCAUCUUGCCAUUCAUUCUUCUAUAUUUUGGUCUUCCUUUUAAUUACUAGACUGAAGUUCAACAAUAAGGCUCACUUUUCCAUUCCCUCAAUGGUUAGAUGUGGUUGACUGUCUAGGGAGAUAUAUAGUUAAACAUAACAGAGGUUGAAGACAGAACAUCUGUAAGAAACUCCUGGUGGAAAAUGCAUAAACUUCAUGUAAAUGCUGUGUGGCUAUAUUCAUUUGCUUUUAUCAUUGGAUCAUAUCCACAGUCUGGUGGAUCAAGCUGUAUGUAAAAUAUGUAUAUUUUUGUACACAUUCUAUAGAUGGAUUGUGAUGAUUGGCUUUAAUUUCUUAUUGAUUAAUAUAUUUUUGUAUUUUAUUAUAUAUUAUAGAUGUUUCAGCUGCAUAGUUGAAAAACCUAAUAUUAUUGUUAGGUGAAAUACUCCAUUUUAAUUUUUAGAAGUGCAAAA